GAUGAACUUCAGAGUAUAUUAAAUUAUUUACUUACAAUGCAUGAGGAUGAAAACAUUCAUGAUGUCUUACAAUUGUUAGUGGCCCUAAUGUCAGAACACCCCGCCUCAAUGAUACCAGCAUUUGAUCAGAGAAAUGGAAUAAGGGUGAUCUACAAAUUGUUGGCUUCUAAAAGUGAAAGUAUCUGGGUCCAAGCGCUGAAAGUUCUGGGAUAUUUUUUGAAGCAUUUAGGUCAUAAGCGAAAAGUUGAAAUUAUGCAUACGCAUAGUCUCUUUACUCUUCUUGGAGAAAGGCUGAUGCUGCAUACAAACACUGUGACUGUCACUACAUACAACACACUUUAUGAGAUCCUGACGGAGCAAGUCUGUACUCAAGUUGUGCAUAAACCACAUCCAGAGCCAGACUCUACAGUGAAAAUUCAGAACCCAAUGAUUCUUAAGGUGGUGGCAACCUUGUUAAAGAAUUCAACACCAAGUGCAGAAUUGAUGGAAGUUCGUCGGUUGUUCUUAUCUGACAUGAUUAAACUUUUCAGUAAUAGCCGUGAAAAUAGAAGAUGCUUAUUGCAGUGUUCCGUGUGGCAGGAUUGGAUGUUUUCUCUUGG
rnacentral:lncRNA from 1 species